AUGAAUCUUUCCUACACUUCAAACCGAAUUCUCAUAUUCAUUAUCAUCACCGCAUGCAUAUGUUUAUUCUUUGCCAUUCGAAAAGAGAAAACCUUCAGAUUAGGGCUUGCAACGGCGAGUAAUUAUCCUUAUACAGCCGUGAAGGGUGCUUGCUCACAGAUUGCAAACAGUCCAACUAGUUCCAUUAAUACAUAUAAUCAUGUGGAGCCGUACAAGAAUUUCAACAUUACACCAAUGAAAUAUUUGAAGGUCGUGAUUGCCCGGUGGAUUCUACACGUAUUACUCACUGCAUGUUAA